rnacentral:rRNA from 1 species
UACGGGGGGGGCAAGCGUUGUUCGGAAUUACUGGGCGUAAAGGGUCCGUAGGCGGUGCGGUAAGUCGGGAGUGAAAUCUCUGGGCUUAACUCAGAGGCUGCUUCCGAAACUACCGUGCUAGAGUGCGAGAGAGGCAAGUGGAAUUGCGGGUGUAGCGGUGAAAUGCGUAGAUAUCCGCAGGAACAUCCGAGGCGAAAGCGGCUUGCUGGAUCGCAACUGACGCUGAGGGACGAAAGCUAGGGGAGCAAACAGG